GACGAACGCUGGCGGCGUGCCUAAUACAUGCAAGUUGAGCGCUGAAGGUUGGUACUUGUACCAACUGGAUGAGCAGCGAACGGGUGAGUAACGCGUGGGGAAUCUGCCUUUGAGCGGGGGACAACAUUUGGAAACGAAUGCUAAUACCGGAUAAAAACUUUAAACACAAGUUUUAAGUUUGAAAGAUGCAAUUGCAUCACUCAAAGAUGAUCCCGCGUUGUAUUAGCUAGUUGGUGAGGUAAAGGCUCACCAAGGCGAUGAUACAUAGCCGACCUGAGAGGGUGAUCGGCCACAUUGGGACUGAGACACGGCCCAAACUCCUACGGGAGGCAGCAGUAGGGAAUCUUCGGCAAUGGACGAAAGUCUGACCGAGCAACGCCGCGUGAGUGAAGAAGGUUUUCGGAUCGUAAAAAUCUGUUGGUAGAGAAGAACGUUGGUGAGAGUGGAAAGCUCAUCAAGUGACGGUAACUACCCAGAAAGGGACGGCUAACUACGUG
rnacentral:rRNA from 1 species